UGGGGAAUAUUGCACAAUGGGCGAAAGCCUGAUGCAGCAACGCCGCGUGCGGGAUGACGGCCUUCGGGUUGUAAACCGCUUUCAGCAGGGACUAAGGUUUUCUGACGGUACCUGCAGAAGAAGCACCGGCUAACUACGUGCCAGCAGCCGCGGUGAUACGUAGGGUGCGAGCGUUGUCCGGAAUUAUUGGGCGUAAAGAGCUUGUAGGCGGUCCGUUGCGUCGGAAGUGAAAACUCAGGGCUUAACCCUGAGCCUGCUUUCGAUACGGGCGGACUUGAGGGAUGUAGGGGAGAACGGAAUUCCUGGUGGAGCGGUGGAAUGCGCAGAUAUCAGGAGGAACACCAGUGGCGAAGGCGGUUCUCUGGACAUUUCCUGACGCUGAGAAGCGAAAGCGUCGGGGAGCAAAACAGGCUUAGAUACCCUGGUAGUCCACGCCGUAAACGGUGGGCACUAGGUGUGGGACCCAUUCCACGGGUUCCGUGCCGUAGCUAACGCAUUAAGUGCCCCGCCUGGGGAGUACGGCCGCAAGGCU
rnacentral:rRNA from 1 species